CAAUAGGUUGCGAAGCCGCGAGGCGGAGCCAAUCCAGCAAAACUUCUUCAGUUCAGAUUGCAGGCUGCAACCCGCCUGCAUGAAGUUGGAGUUGCUAGUAAACGCAGGUCAGCCAUACUGCGUUGAAUACGUUCCCGGGGCUU
rnacentral:rRNA from 1 species